CCGGCCUCCGCUCCGUUUCCCCAUUCCACCACCGCAACCACCCUUCCACCGUGCAUCCCGAGCCACCUCCACCAUACGCCGCCUCCAGCCGUGUGCCACCGUCGCCUUAGCCGCCGCCGCGUCGCUCCGUCUUCACCUCUCGCCUCGCAGCGCCGUGCAGCACCUCGGUCACCGUUGUUCAUCGCCGGAAACCCACCGGAACGUGGUACCUCUCGGUCGCCGGUCUUGCCGGCCCUCGGCCGCGGCUCCGCCAUGGUCGGGCGUCGUCGGACCGCCGUUCCCGUCGCCUCCCGUGUCGGCCGCCGCCAUCCUUUCCGCCGCCGGUCGCCUCCCCAUGGUCGUCCCGUCGCCGGCGCUCCUCGCGUGUAGUUUCCGUCGUUUCGGAAGUCCGCGGUCGCGAG